rnacentral:rRNA from 1 species
AGUCUGGUGCCAGCAGCCGCGGUAAUUCCAGCUCAAAUAGCGUAUAUUAAAGUUGUUGCAGUUGAAAAGCUCGUAGUUGGAUUUCAGGAUCAGAGAGAUCGGUCCGCCGUCAAGGUGUGUACUGGUCUUCUCUAUCCUCACUAUGGGAUACUCACCUCUGCCCUUGACUGAGUGGAGGUCAAAGGCAUGGUGUAGGGGGGCAACCCUCUGCAUUAUGUUGAGUUCUCAUUCAUUUACUUUGAAUAAAACUGCAUGCUCAAAGUAGGUAAAGGGCCGCUGAAAGCAAAAGCAUGGGAUAAUAGAACAGGACUUGUGUCCUCGUUUUGUUGGUUUCUAGGACAUGAGUAAUGAUUAAGAGGGAUAGUUGGGGGCAUUAGUAUUUAAUUGUCAGAGGUGAAAUUCUUGGAUUUAUGAAAGACUAACUUCUGCGAAAGCAUUUGCCAAGGAUGUUUUCAUUAAUCAAGAACGAAAGUUAGGGGAUCGAAGACGAUCAGAUACCGUCGUAGUCCUAACCAUAAACGAUGCCGACCAGCGAUUGGGAGACGUUAUAUGGAUGACUCCCCCAGCAGCUUGCGAGAAAUCACAAGUCUUUGGGUUCCGGGGGGAGUAUGGUCGCAAGGCUGAAACUUAAAGGAAUUGACGGAAGGGCACCACCAGGAGUGGAGCCUGCGGCUUAAUUUGACCCAACACGGGGAAACUUACCAGGUCCAGACACAGUAAGGAUUGACAGAUUUGAGAGCUCUUUCUUGAUUCUGUGGGUGGUGGUGCAUGGCCGUUCUUAGUUGGUGGAGUGAUUUGUCUGGUUAAUUCCGUUAACGAACGAGACCUUAACCUGCUAAAUAGUGACUGGAAGCAUCUACAAAAACACAGUGGGGUCUAGGGUGAAGUUUCGAUGGAUCUCGACGCCUCAUUGUGUGGAUGCUCCCAGGAUUACUUCUUAGAGGGACUAUCUGUAUUAAAGCAGAUGGAAGCAUGAGGCAAUAACAGGUCUGUGAUGCCCUUCGAUGUCCUGGGCCGCACGCGCGCUACACUGAUAAGUUCAACGAGUUUAACACCCUGGCCGGUAGGUCUGGGUAAUCUUCGUGAAACUUAUCGUGCUGGGGAUAGAUCGUUGUAAUUAUUGAUCUUCAACGAGGAAUUCCUAGUAAGCGUUGAGUCAUCAGCUCGCGUUGAUUACGUCCCUGCCCUUUGUACACACCGCCCGUCGCUCCUACCGAUUGAAUGGUCCGGUGAGAAGUUGGGAAUGUGGCCGACGCUAGCGGGGCAACUCGUUAGUAAGGUUGUGUGAACUUCUUCAAACCUUAUCAUUUAGA